rnacentral:lncRNA from 1 species
CGGCGGGCGGGGGCGGGGGGGUUCCGAGGUUUGGAGGGCAGACCUCUUGAAGGCGGGCGGCAGCCACCAACCACAUUCUGGCUCCCGCACAGACACACCCCCGGGGUGUCGGUGCCGCAGCCCUCAGCCCCUCCCGGGGUAGCCAGCAGCGCCCAGUCGGCCGCUGGCCGCAGGAGAAAGUAAACAACACCCCAAGUGUCCGGGAACAAAGGCAAGUUGUCUUUCUACGGUGCCGGAGCCGUGUGCCUCUUCUGAAGAAUGAGAGCUAUUAUUAUUCUUUAUGUCUUAUCCUUUUUUUUUUUUCAACCAAGUUUCCUUCUAAGGGAAAUAAACACCAAAGGUAGGAUUCCAAGGAAAUGACUCACGGCGGCUGGCAGGGCUCUGGCGGGGCUGGCCUGGGCCCCCGCGCUCCAGCCCGCAGCAGAUGCCGGCCCGGGCCUCCCUCCCUCCCUCCCUUGAUGGCCAAACCCGCUGGAAGCCCCCGGCCGCGGGAGCGCCCUGCGCCCAUGGGACCUGGCGGCGAGGACGCCUCUUCCUUGCUUCUGCGACCGCAGCUGGGCACUCGGAAAGUUGCUAGGGCCGAAGAGGCUGGAGGGGAGGAAGGGAAGAGAGAGGCGGAGGCGUGGACCAGGCGGGCAGCAGCCUCAGCCCGCCGGGGAGUGAUCCUCCGACUGUGAAAAACCAAACCUCUGGCUGCCUGGCACCCUAGGAAUCAAGAAGACGCACAGACUGAAAAUCAAGGGAGGAAGGAACAAGAUCAAGGAUGAGGAUUAGCAUCUGCAAAUUGAACUCUAUCUAAUUUGCAUGUUUAUUUCUUAGAAUUGUAAUUAAAUUUGUGUAAUAAAUGUUUUCCAUUUCAUUUGUACACUUAAAACUUGGGUGACUGACAUGCAGUUAAGUGAAUUUCCUUUUUUUUUUUUUAAGCAAAUGUAGUUUAUUCAAUAAAGUAGCAAACCAAUAUUAAACCUAAUUAGAAC